rnacentral:lncRNA from 1 species
CUCGAUCAAACAAAUGAUAAGUCUGACAUUUAGAUGAACAUUUAAAUAGAAAUAUUUAGCUCGAUCAUUUCAAGGAAAUCUUUUAACAAUAGUAUCCACAAAGACAAACAGGAGUAGGAGGAUCAUCUGGAUUCUGUAUACAACUCGCACCAAAAAAUUUAUCCUCAUAUUCCUCCUUACAACUAGGUAUACAAUCAUCGUUCGCUUUGCAUGUUAUGUUGUAAAUUGGAGCGGCGCAUUGCAAAUCAUUAAUCCGAUGAUCUUGGGCAAUCGUCAGCUCGAGAACGUAAAGACACGUGACAAUAAAGAGAAGGCAAUAGUAAACUGAAAUUUUUGCCAUUUGUACUUUGAUUUUGCUUGUGUUUCUG